GAAACAGAACACAUACCUAUACACAGAACAGGGGACGUAACACCGGGAAAAGUCCAGAUUUAGACGACAUCAUUGGGUCCACCUGUGAGACGUAUUUUGAGACGGGACGCAGGAGCUUCAGGUUCAGGCGGAACACUCAUUGCGGGCGGAAGCUGCGAAGGAUUCAGCGCGGAGUCGAGCGAGAAGAAAGAGGCUGCUGGAAUCGAGACAAAGUGUGCUGGCUGAUGACGAGGUGGAACUCUGGAAAUCCGCCACCGUAGAGCUCACGUCGGACGGAGGGGACGGCGUUGUUGGCGGGGUCUUGGGGUGGAUUGUACGGUCGCCACACACACACACGAGCCGCCUGCACAACAGACCUGCCUCGGAAAACACGGCGCCAGUGACGGUCUACAACCCCGAGGAGGCAAACGGACAGUUUACUGAGCUGUAGUUUUUAAACCGCCGUUACCCAAUUGUGGGCAGAUCCUCACUUUGUAUGUAGUUGUUGUUGUUUGUGU
ensembl:lncRNA